UUUUAAAGUGAUUAGCAGGAUGUAUAUCCCACGGCCGGCCGAGCUCCGCGGCCGCGGUGCUGUGGUUCGCGUUGCCCCGCACGCACAGCGCAGAGGGUCGCGUUCGCGCCGGGUAAAAUGGCUGCCAGGGGAAGUCUUUGGGCUCCAAUAAAAGGGGAAGCUUUGAGGGACUGACUCCUCCACCGCUUAAUUGAUUGCGAAAGAGCUUGAUUUUUUGAAGAUAUUCAUAAAGCACUCAGACAUCCUCCAGCAUUCAAGUUUAGUAAAAAAGCCUUGAGCUGUGGGAGCCAUCAGACUCGAGAAACGAUGGAGGGGGCUGGCACAAAGCUGCUGAUCCUGCUCCUGCCAGACUGACUCAGAUGAUGUUCUCUGGAGGCCAGAAGAGAUGAGCUGGAGCAAAGGGUAGCAGGGAAGACAUGUCUGCGUCAGCCGUAGCUCAUAUCUGUGUUUGUGCCCUGCGUGCCAGCACGCUGAUAGCCACAGGCACUGGGGUCCCCUCUGCGGGGAGCUGUGCAGCAUUUUCUGUAAGAAAACCAGGGAUGCUUUCCGGCUGCAAAGAGGAGAAGGCUACAGCUGCAGCACGCACUUGUCCCUGUUGCUAAGGUAACACAUAUCACACCCACGCUGGCCUAGAAGCAAAACAGUGCGCAUGGGAAAUUUCGUAGGGCCAGGAGCCUCGCGUGGGAGAGCACUGCUUUUUCAGGUGCUGCUGCCUCCCAUACUACUGAGCCGGGUCUCACAAAUCCCUCAAAGAUAACUCUUCGCAUGCAGUUUCCCUGAUUGUGUUGGAGGUUGCUAUGCCAUCCAGCUAGGUGUACACCUGAAAUACUUUGUCUUGUAAUGCUCUGCCUUCUGCUGCCAAGAAAUGUCUGCAAUGACUCUGCUUGCUGAUGGUUUUGGGCAGCAGGACUGUGCAGCACAAGGCAGUUCAGAUGCCCGCUGAAACAAAGGUUGGGCAGCUCUGCUUUACAUUCUGAACCAGGAACACAGAGCAGCCCCUGCUGUAAUAAAAGAGCUGCAUGCUUUUAACCACUUUCCAACAUCGCUCUUGUUUUGCCCAGCAGUGCAUGCUGUAGGUCACACAGAAACACAUCUCAGCAGCUGUGAAAAGCACAUCCCCAAUGCCAAUUUGUGUUUAAGUCCAAGUGCUCCAAAAAUAAGAGGUGAUAUAUUUUGAAAACUGCUUGAGUCUCUCAUUUAUGACUUCCAAGGCACACUUCUGGUCUUUAAAUUAAGCAAUUUAUUUUAUUACCACUACUAGGAACAGAUCUGCCAUUUUAUACUGGUUUACAGCUCUUUGGAGUGCCAUUGAUCCCUCUCUGGGGUCAGCAAGCUGUAACAGGCACGAGUCACAUCCUAAAGCCUAAAAAUGUACAGGAGGCAGUGACUGCUGUGGCUGGCAGGAAGCUGCUGAAGAGUGACAUAAAAGCCUGAGUGCCUAAAGCAAAGAGUGUCAGUAGCUGUGAUUUGUCAAACUGACUGUGAGAGCUGUCUCCCUUGGCAAGAAAUGCAGUGGCCAGGCCUUCAUCUGUGUUCCUGGACUCACUCACCACAGGUACCCUACCCAAACACAGAAACCACGCACACCCAGAGCUCACAAGGCAGCAACAUGAUGGGUAAUACCUUGUUCUCCCUCAGGCACCAAAAGGAUUCACAGAGGAGCAUUUUAUCCUUUUCGCUUCUGAUCUGGAAACCUAAGGAUGCCGAGGUUAAAUGAACUGACUAAGGUUGCAUAAUUAGCCAGUGGCAGAGCUGAGAAUAGACACCAUCUCCAUUUUUCCAGGCCUAACAUCUAACUCUCAGGCCCUUCUUGGGGGCAUAGACAGGCUAGCAAAACUGUAUAUCACAGCUGUAUAGAAUAUGACAUUUUUAGAACAGGCUCAAUCCUGAAUUUACUACAGCUCUAAUAAAAUAAAAACAAACCAAAACCAAACACAACCACAGGAAAAUAUUUGAAAAAAAGGAAAAGCAACAAUAUUUUCUUUUUACAGUGCUCCUGCAUGGGUAAGAAGGUAAAAAUGGAAUUCAAGUGACAUUUAUAAAUAUUAAUGGACUUCUAAGCACUAGCACAUUAAACAAGUUCCCAAGGGUCAAAGCCUGAAUUAACUUUGACUAAUGGUUGCUGAAGACCUAGGCAAAAAUAAAGCAAUGCUGUGAAGAAAUGUUAAUCUUUCACAGAUGUUUGGUAGGGCUAAAAUGCAGUCAUUUGUCCUCCAUUUCAAAACAAACUAUUUUAGGGAAACAGUGCUUCUUUCAUGCUCCCAACCCUCCCCUUCUUUGCUUACUCUCUUUCUACUCUUGCGUAUUUGAAUGCAUUUUUUUGCAAUUUCCUUUCUUCAACUGCUGCUGUAGAUGCUGGGAUUUAUCAGGCAACUUAAUAACCUUAGUUGAAUUAGUGGGGGAAUGUGGAAGACAAGAAAUCCUGUUCACUCUUGUUCAACAGAAAGCACUCUGGGAAAGGUUCCGUUAACAGUGAAACAAGGGGGUGUGAAACUCCAGCCUGGGAAACUCUCCUGCCUGAGGGCUUCUGAACGCAGAUUUGUGUUCCAGGUCACUGAACCCCUGCUGCAGACUGCAGCUGAGACAGAUGGGCAGAGCAACCUAGGGGUUACCUGCAGCUGCCCUCCACUUACAUAAGGCCUGGACAACUGGAUCAGGUUAUUGACAAGCCAAGAGGAAUUACAUGUCACGGUAGCUAGGCAGUGAAGAUGGUGAUCUGCUUUCACUUUAGGCAAUUUGCUCCUUCCAAGAACAUCCUGGAAUGGUGAAACAGUAUGUACAUUUCAAGGAAAGGUUCAGCUAAGCUGCUUGGUUCUCAAGGGUUCUAGAAACCUCUCAUUUCAUGCAAGAUUCACUCGAGAGAGGGUCAUUUUUUCUAAAAUAUUUAGGGAGAAAUGUUCAUAGCUUUGAAGCUGUUUAAAGACAUGACUUCCGAUGCAGUGCAAGUCAGAGUCCCCUUUGAUGUCAGAGAGAAUUAGGCUCUACCUGUCCUCAAAUAUCUGGCUCAGUCACCUAAAUGCAUUUACAAAGCUGGCCUUAGCAGCUUUCAUUAGUGGCUGGCAGGUCUCUGAGCACAAAGAACACACUGUCCCCCACACUACGAGUCUUUGUUAGCAGUGCACCCAUUAUGUUCAAUUAGUCGCAGCAUGGAGCAUAUGCUGACCGUGCCUUGCACUUUGCCUGUCUGUCCUGCCUGGGGGCAUCUACCAGCCCAGCCCAGCCACCACCCAGGUUCUGCAGCCUGCAAGUACAGGCCCAGGGCAACACAGUGCCACUGCCUGCAUCAACACAAGAUCCCUGAAUCUCAGCUGGCAGAAAGAAGGGCUGUGCCUGUUCCACUUCUGCACUGCAGCAGCCACAGCCAGUGAUGGCCCCUAGGAAAUCACACCCAUGGACAAGAACAGUAUGUUUUGUGAGAUGUCUGCAGAGACACCCGUGCCCACUGACUCUCCAGUGCUGCAGACUGGUUGGCUGCCUGCCUUCAGCCAGGAUGGGCUGAGGAUUAGCUGAGGCCUCACAGACUUCCUCAACAUGGCACACACUCAGUGUGGUCUUGUGCUUUGUAGUCUCCCUCCUCCUCCUCCUUAGCCCCAACCCAGUCUGCUGCUGUCUUUCAUGAGAUCCAUAGAAAUAUAAUUAUCAUGGAGAUGUCUGCCUCUGGCAGUAUUUUUUUUCUUUGGAAAUAAUUAUAAUUGGCUGUGGCAGUUAAAAACUUAUCGGUGUAGACAGAUGACAGACAGUACAAUCACAUAAGCUUCCCUCUGAGAAAAUAAAGCUAAAACCCAUUUAUCAUCCUGGAUGGAAACAAAAGGUCUUCCUUUGAAGAGUCAGGCUGUGAAAACACAAAGAGAAGACUGUUAUGCCCAUGGAUUAAAUCUGUGGUACGUAACCAAGUACAAGCAGUCCAUUUGCAGCAUGAUGAUACUGUAGUAAUUAUCACUGCUUUCAUCUGAGAAAUACCUAGAUGGGAACAUAUCAGCCCACUCAGAAGCAGAAACUGAGGUCCCAAGAGGAUAAUUAAGCCACAACUACCUGAAGAGUGACUGUACCACAAACACAGAAAAAGUCACGUUGUCAAACUUCCAAUUACUUGGAGGGAAACAUCAUUACAGCGGACUGCACUGUGUACUUCGGAGAGAUGAAGAUCAACUACAAGCAACAAAUGGAAUAUAACUAAGCAAAGGAUGCAUGUGACACCUCAGCCACUUCUCGAUGGAGUACCAGAAUACCGCUGAACCUAACUACUAAGACCAGGAAAGAAAAAGAACAGAGUAAAGCUAGGCAUGUGACACUGGAUGGAAGAAGAAAGGAACCAAUAUCUCUACAGAUCAAGAUUCAUCAAAUAACCAUGCCCACUGCCCUUCUGGAAGCAUCAGGACUUCAGCGUGUUACACUGGAAACCUGACAAACAGCACUGCAGCAAAAGAAGGUGCAGCAGCCCAGCCUGCUGGCACUGGCACUGGCAGCUCCAAUGAGGCAACAGAAGGAAAAGCAGACAAAGGCAAGGAACAGAUGCAGUGUAGAAAUCUUUAAGCAUGUGGUAAGAGGAGGAGAAGAGGCAGCAGGGAGCAGAAGAGGCAGCAGCCACAAGCGAUCUGUUGGAUGGUCAAGCACACAAGUGACAAGGCAAGGUAAGAACAGCUACAGAGAAACUCAAGUAUUGAAACUUAAUUACCACCUUUUCAAUAGUGCCCUGUUAGCUCCAGACUCUAUUUAUAAAAUAUUUUAAUUUAUUGCUGUCAUGCAGAACAAACAUAGCCAUUUGUUAUGGUUUAACUGCUUUAGAGAACAGUGUCCUUAACAUCAUUCACAGCUGCACCAGAGUAUAAUCUUCCAUAAGAUCAUAUUUCUUGUCAGUUGAUAUAUACUCCUGACCUUUGGGUUUGUUUUUCCCUUUUUA